rnacentral:rRNA from 1 species
CAGUAGUCACGUAGUUGAUCCUGGCUCAGAACGACGCUGGCGGCAGGCCUAAUACAUGCAAGUCGAGCGCUCUAGCAAUAGAGAGCGGCGCACGGGUGCGUAACGCGUGGGAAUGUACCUCUAGGUGCGGAACAACGUCGGGAAACUGACGCUAAUACCGCAUAAUAUCUCCGGAUCAAAGAUUUAUCGCCUAGGGAUCAGCCCGCGUUGGAUUAGCUAGUUGGUGAGGUAAUGGCUCACCAAGGCGACGAUCCAUAGCUGGUCUGAGAGGAUGAUCAGCCACACUGGGACUGAGACACGGCCCAGACUCCUACGGGAGGCAGCAGUAAGGAAUAUUGGACAAUGGAGGAAACUCUGAUCCAGCCAUGCCGCGUGAGUGAAGAAGGCCUUCGGGUUGUAAAGCUCUUUUAGAUGUGACGAUGAUGACGGUAGCAUCAGAAAAGCUCCGGCUAACUACGUG